GUCGCGUGUGUGAAGAAGGCCUUAGGGUUGUAAAACACUUUCAAUAAAGGAAGAAGAAAUUUAAAAAUAAGAUUUUUAUUUUUUUGACGUUAUUUAUAAAAGAAGCACCGGCUAACUUCGUGCCAGCAGCCGCGGUAAUACGAGGGGUGCUAGCGUUAAUCAGAUUUACUGGGCGUAAAGGGUGUGUAGGCUGUAAUUUUAAAUUAAUUAUAAAAUAUAUUAAGAUAAACUAAAUAUAGUAAUUAAUACUUAAUUUCUUGAGUAUAAAAGAAGUAAAUAGAAUUCUAAAAGUAGCAGUGAAAUGCUUAGAUAUUUAGAAGAAUACUUAUGGCGAAGGCAUUUUACUAUUUUAUACUGACGCUGAUACACGAAAGCAUGGGGAGCAAACAGGAUUAGAUACCCUGGUAGUCCAUGCAGUAAACGAUGUCAACUAUUUAUUAAAUAACAUAAUAAUAUUUUAAAAUUUUUAUGAAUUUUUAUUUAUGUAAUUUUAGUGAAAAAGCUAACGCGUUAAGUUGACCGCCUGGGGAUUACGACCGCAAG
rnacentral:rRNA from 1 species